GGAGGUGAAUAGUAGCCUGGUGGCGCUCGCGGCCUUCAAAGCCGUUGUGGGUUCGACAAGAGCCCAGGUGGGUUCGAUUCCCAUGCACCUCCGCCA
rnacentral:tRNA from 1 species